AUGGGGCGAAGGUCAAGACGGUCCGAACGCGGACGAGCCGACGCCGGAGAAGCCGGCUGUCGCCGCAGUCAGAGCCGCCGAGCCACCAUGAAGCCGCCACGACACCGAGAGGCCACCACCAACGCCGGACCUCCCGCGCCGCCGUCCACGGCCAGAGCAACGGCCACGCCUGGCCGCUGCCCACCCGCGUCGCCCGACAAGCGUCGGAGCAGCCGGGCACGCACCACUGAUGCCAUACGCCGGAGCGCCAGCCACCACCAUAGAGCAUGCGCAUGCACGCCCUGGCCAACACCACCAAAAGCCCCACCACCCCACAGGAGAAGCACAGCCACCAGCAAGUCAGCAACACCACCACCACCUUAG
rnacentral:rRNA from 1 species